AUGAAGAAAAUAAGGGCGUACAGUGGAUGCCUUGGCACUAAGAGCCGAUGAAGGACA
rnacentral:rRNA from 1 species